rnacentral:hammerhead_ribozyme from 1 species
AUCCGGCUGACGAGUCUCAAACAGGACGAAAUGCACUUCAUCCUGGAU